rnacentral:rRNA from 1 species
UACGGGGGGGGCAAGCGUUGUUCGGAAUUACUGGGCGUAAAGGGCUCGUAGGUGGCCAACUAAGUCAGACGUGAAAUCCCCAGGCUCAACUUGGGAACCGCGUCUGAUACUGGAUGGCUUGAAUUCGGGAGAGGGAUGCAGAAUUCCAGGUGUAGCGGUGAAAUGCGUAGAUAUCUGGAGGAAUACCGGUGGCGAAGGCGGCAUCCUGGACCGAGAUUGACACUGAUGAGCGAAAGCUAGGGGAGCAAACGGG